GUAUUCUCAGGGGGCUUCUGAAGGGCAAAGUGAUUUGGAAGCCAAGCCUGCUGAAGCAGGAUGAAAUCUGCUAUGGCAAUGUUUUUGUCUUUGCUCGAAGAGUAUUUGGUGUCUUGUCAUCAAAGCCCACAGUUGCUGUUUUGAAAGGUUGAGUGGUGAUAAUCUGCAUUGUUUUGGUGUUGUAAAUAGAAACCCUGUGUGCACCUAAUACAGAAGUUAAAUUCUGAGUCAUGAGAAAGUACCUUUGCCUUCAUUAACUUGAGAAAUCCUUUUGAAGUUUGCAAAGCAGUGAUUUAAAAGUUCAGGGGUAAUUGAUGAUGAUUCCCUUUUAAGACAAAAGAGCACUGUAUCUAUUUUGAAAAAUAAGGCAUGCAUUAUAAUAACAAUAUGUACAAAGGAAAUCAGUGUAGGAUUGAUCAGGUUCAGUAAUAAAAUCAUCCCCUUCAAUUAAUCAAUCAAAAGACAAUGAAGAUUUAUACCUAGGCAUGACAGCCCAUCAGCUGUGCAGGUUAUUUCUGUGAGUGCUCAAGCACAGAUACAUAAAACACAGCUGGUUACUCGUGGCUUUAACACUCAUGGAAGUGUGGAGGGCAGGAAUCACUUGAAGCAGGAGCACCUGUUCAUAUGAAACAGCAAAGUUUCAGGUUUUGAAGAUGUACAAGUUCAUUUUCAUGAAGGCUCAACUUAUUUUUUUACUCCUUCUCCUUUUAAAAUCAAACCCAAAGCAGGAAUUUGGAGGACCAGGUAUAAAAUACCCAUGGAUACCCCUAGAAGGAGCCACAGGCAGCAGUGACAGAUCACCUUGACCUCCAUCCUUCUCCAGAGCUCCAGGCGAUGGGACUGAAAUAAAGAGCAGCACUAGUGGGGGCUCUCGGCUGGG
rnacentral:lncRNA from 1 species